rnacentral:rRNA from 1 species
UACGCAGGGGGCUAGCGUUGCUCGGAAUCACUGGGCGUAAAGCGCACGUAGGCGGACUCUUAAGUCGGUGGUGAAAUCCUGGAGCUCAACUCCAGAACUGCCUUCGAUACUGGGAGUCUCGAGUCCGGGAGAGGUGAGUGGAACUGCGAGUGUAGAGGUGAAAUUCGUAGAUAUUCGCAAGAACACCAGUGGCGAAGGCGGCUCACUGGCCCGGUACUGACGCUGAGGAGCGAAAGCAUGGGUAGCAAACAGG